AGAGACUCCCUUCCCACCCUCUGUGUGCCAAAAUAGUGUGUCAGCCGCUCGGCUUAAGAGAUUUCCUGUCUUGGAAACCCCCAAGUGCCAUUUUCCUUAGCAGAUUCAGCCGGCUCAAGCCCCAGCCAGGAGAAGAGUUGGGAAUGAAGUCAGCCUGAGUGCGCAGCUACAGCUGUAGCCAAAGAGCAGUGAGACAUUGCUGCCCACAGUCCUUUGUCUGCCUGCCCCCUCUCCUGAAGCACCAACACCCCUCCUUCCUAGAGCCAAUGGAAUUGUUCUGCCUGCAGGUGCUGCAGGAACAAUGACCGAUUCUCCAUGCGCCUGUUCAUCCCCCACCAGGAGAACAGAUGCUACCACACUUCAGCA
rnacentral:lncRNA from 1 species